rnacentral:rRNA from 1 species
GACGAACCGUGCGAACGUUGUUCGGAAUCACUGGGCAUAAAGGGCGCGUAGGCGGCUUUUCAAGUCAGGGGUGAAAUCCGGCAGCUCAACUGUCGAAGUGCCCUUGAUACUGAGGAGCUCGAGGGAGGUAGGGGUGUGUGGAACUUCCGGUGGAGCGGUGAAAUGCGUUGAUAUCGAUAGGAACUCCGGUGGCGAAGGCGGCAUACUGGACCACUUCUGACGCUGAGGCGCGAAAGCCAGGGGAGCAAACGGG